rnacentral:rRNA from 2 species
GGAUUGCCCUAGUAACGGCGAGUGAAGCGGCAACAGCUCAAAUUUGAAAUCUGGCUCUUUCAGGGUCCGAGUUGUAAUUUGUAGAGGGUGCUUUGGCGUUGACUGUGGUCUAAGUUCCUUGGAACAGGACGUCGCAGAGGGUGAGAAUCCCGUAUGUGGCCGCCAGUCUUCGCCGUGUAAAGCCCCUUCGACGAGUCGAGUUGUUUGGGAAUGCAGCUCUAAAUGGGAGGUAAAUUUCUUCUAAAGCUAAAUAUUGGCCAGAGACCGAUAGCGCACAAGUAGAGUGAUCGAAAGAUGAAAAGCACUUUGGAAAGAGAGUCAAAAAGCACGUGAAAUUGUUGAAAGGGAAGCGCUUGCAGCCAGACUUGCCUGUAGUUGCUCAUCCGGGCUUUUGCCCGGUGCACUCUUCUAUGGGCAGGCCAGCAUCAGUCCUGGCGGUUGGAUAAAUGUCUGCACAA